AACGAACGCUGGCGGCAUGCCUAACACAUGCAAGUCGAACGAGACCUUCGGGUCUAGUGGCGCACGGGUGCGUAACGCGUGGGAACCUGCCCUUAGGUUCGGAAUAACUCCCCGAAAGGGGUGCUAAUACCGGAUAAUGUCUUCGGACCAAAGAUUUAUCGCCUUUGGAUGGGCCCGCGUUGGAUUAGCUAGUUGGUAGGGUAAAAGCCUACCAAGGCGACGAUCCAUAGCUGGUCUGAGAGGAUGAUCAGCCACACUGGGAAUGAGACACGGCCCAGACUCCUACGGGAGGCAGCAGUGGGGAAUAUUGGACAAUGGGCGAAAGUCUGAUAAAGCAAUGCCGGGUGAGUGAUGAAGGCCUUAGGGUUGUAAAGCUCUUUGACCCGGGAUGAUAAUGACAGUACCGGGAGAAUAAGCACCGGCUAACUCCGUG
rnacentral:rRNA from 1 species